AAACACUGCCUAGAUCAUGGAUUACAAAUCACAGAGGGUUCACACACCGAGCAGAAAUUAAAACAUAUUGCAGGUAUUAAAAGCCACUCUGACUCUUCAGAGGUUGAAAGCCCUGAUCCAUCAAGCACCAACCUCAGGAGCCAGGAGGCAAUUUUCCACCUGAGGCUGACUCAGCCAGACCCUCAGCCAAGAGCAGGUGUUGAGGAACAGACCCUGGCAUGGCACUUAGCCCCAAGACUCAGUGACACAUCUGAAGAGCAGAGCAAGGAAGAUCUGUUCAGCUCCUCAAGAAGCAAGGACUCCAGUGCCCCUAAAUGAUCUGGGCCUGCAGCUGGGCUAUUUAAGGGCAGCUGCUAGAGACCAGCCUUCCACUAGAAACAAUCACCAGGGCUGGACCUGCAUUCCUGUAUCCUUGCUUUCUGCUCGACUUUUUGGCAUUGGGUUCCUGGACUACUGCUGUCUCACCCUGUUUUCCUGAACCUGCACUACAUUGGCUGCCUGCUUUCCAGCCCGACCCCUUGUCCCCUUCAACUACAGCUCUGAAUUGGACUGUGUACCAGCUGCACCGUGCUCUGCUAACAGCUCUGCAUGAAGCAGCUGAAGCAAAAUAGGUCAUCUCUCUUGAAAUACUACAGUACAUCUGAGUCAGGUGUCCUGCAGAGAUUGGACUACACUUUCUAUUGGCUAUACUGAGAGGGCACCAACAGGUCUUCAAGUGGAGAUUAUUUAAGUCUAUAAUUUUGCUAAAUGUAUAACUAAGAUGAUGGAGUUUCUCAGAAGAAUUAUAUUCAUAAUACUGUGCCAUGAGUACACAAAGGCAGUCUUGAUUUCUACAUGUUUUGUUGGAAGUGGGAGAAAAGUUAAUUGGAGAGAGAGGUCCUGGGAGUUAUCAAAGUUUAAGCUGCAUCUGUUGUCACAGCCAUCUGUUAAAUUAUUUUAAUAGCAAUCUUAAAUGCCACUGAACUCACAGAUUGGAAAACUAUCUGUUGGCAUAUAUUUAGUUGUAUAAUUAAAGAACAAAUAAAAGAAAAUUAAUGGUAUAUUUUUAAAAAUCAGGAAUCUGCUCAUGUGUGACGUUAAGUAUUUUUGCAAUCAAAUUCUUUUACUAAUUCCUAAGGCUUUUAAUUUUCUUUGUACUGGGAAAAAUCCAAAAUCAUCUUGUUGACUAGAUGACCACCAAAUUUGGCUUGUCUUACAUGUAUAUUAAAAAUCUCAACAAUUAUGUAUUGUUUUAUAUUUACAACAAAAAAAUAAA